rnacentral:lncRNA from 1 species
UGAGGUAGAUGGAUCACAAAGAAUAAAUUACUUUGAGAACUGUGUAAGCAGAUGAAUGAUAGAAGAUGGAGUGUCUUAAGAUCUAUGAAGGUAAAUAGAUGAUAAAAGAUAGAGUGUUUUGAGAUAUAUGCAAGAGUAAAGAAUGGAGCACUUUGAGAUCUAUGCAAAUGGAUGGAUGAUCGAGGAUUGAAUACUUUGAGAUAUAUAUAGGUAGAUGGA